GAUUAUGGCUCAGGAUGAACGCUAGCUACAGGCUUAACACAUGCAAGUCGAGGGGCAGCAUGGUCUUAGCUUGCUAAGGCUGAUGGCGACCGGCGCACGGGUGAGUAACGCGUAUCCAACCUUCCCCAUAGUAGGGGAUAGCCCGGCGAAAGUCGGAUUAAUACCCUAUGUUAUUCGAUGCAGACAUCUAAGUUGAAUCAAAGGUUUACCGCUAUGGGAUGGGGAUGCGUCUGAUUAGGUUGCAGGCGGGGUAACGGCCCACCUGGCCCACGAUCAGUAGGGGUUCUGAGAGGAAGGUCCCCCACAUUGGAACUGAGACACGGUCCAAACUCCUACGGGAGGCAGCAGUGAGGAAUAUUGGUCAAUGGACGAGAGUCUGAACCAGCCAAAGUAGCGUGCAGGACGACGGCCCUAUGGGUUGUAAACUGCUUUUAUGCGGGGAUAAAGUGAGGGACGUGUCCCUUUUUGUAGGUACCGCAUGAAUAAGGACCGGCUAAUUCCGUGCCAGCCGCGGC
rnacentral:rRNA from 1 species